AAGCUGCCAAGGGGAGACACCAUGCUCACGAAGAUGGUUUUCCCAGGGUGAGGCUCAUUCAUUUCACUCCGAGUGUGCUGACCCCUGCAAUUUCCCCAAAUGCAGGAAACUCGACUGCAUAAUUUGUGGUUUGACCCUUGGAUACAUGUCAGA
rnacentral:snRNA from 1 species